GAUGAACGCUGGCGGCGUGCCUAAUACAUGCAAGUCGAGCGAACAGAUGAGGAGCUUGCUCCUCUGACGUUAGCGGCGGACGGGUGAGUAACACGUGGAUAACCUACCUAUAAGACUGGGAUAACUUCGGGAAACCGGAGCUAAUACCGGAUAAUAUAUUGAACCGCAUGGUUCAAUAGUGAAAGACGGUUUUGCUGUCACUUAUAGAUGGAUCCGCGCCGCAUUAGCUAGUCGGUAAGGUAACGGCUUACCAAGGCAACGAUGCGUAGCCGACCUGAGAGGGGGAUCGGCCACACUGGAACUGAGACACGGUCCAGACUCCUACGAGAGGCAGCAGUAGGGAAUCUUCCGCAAUGGGCGAAAGCCUGACGGAGCAACGCCGCGUGAGUGAUGAAGGUCUUCGGAUCGUAAAACUCUGUUAUUAGGGAAGAACAAAUGUGUAAGUAACUAUGCACGUCUUGACGGUACCUAAUCAGAAAGCCACGGCUAACUACGUG
rnacentral:rRNA from 1 species